UACGGGGGGGGCAAGCGUUGUUCGGAAUUACUGAGCGUAAAGGGCUCGUAGGCGGCCAACUAAGUCAGACGUGAAAUCCCUCGGCUUAACCGGGGAACUGCGUCUGAUACUGGAUGGCUUGAGAUUGGGAGAGGGAUGCGGAAUUCCAGGUGUAGCGGUGAAAUGCGUAGAUAUCUGGAGGAACACCGGUGGCGAAGGCGGCAUCCUGGACCAACACUGACGCUGAUGAGCGAAAGCCAGGGGAGCAAACGGG
rnacentral:rRNA from 1 species